CUGUCGAGCUUGCUCACAGGCACAUCCAUAUCCAUAACACCUGUGCACUUCGUCGGAUGGCUUAGUGAAGACCGCAAGGUUGAAUCUAUCCAUCUACUUUACAUAACAAUUCUGUAACAAAUGUAGUCUUAUUAUAACAUAAUAAAACUUUCAACAACGGAUCUCUUGGCUCUCGCAUCGAUGAAGAACGCAGCGAAAUGCGAUAAGUAAUGUGAAUUGCAGAAUUCAGUGAAUCAUCGAAUCUUUGAACGCACCUUGCGCUCCUUGGUAUUCCGAGGAGCAUGCCUGUUUGAGUGUCAUGAAAACCCUCAACCCUAGAUUGGUUAAAACCUUUCUUUGGUUUGGAUUUGGACGUUUGCCGAUGAUAAGUCGGCUCGUCUUAAAAGUAAUAGCUGGAUCUGUCUCGCGACAUGGUUUGACUUGGCGUAAUAAGUAUUUCGCUAAGGACAUCUUCGGAUGGCCGCGUUGCAGGACUAAAGACCGCUUUCUAAUCCAUUGAUCUUCGGAUUAAUACUCUUGACAUCUGGCCUCAAAUCAGGUAGGACUACCCGCUGAACUUAAGCAUAUCAUA
rnacentral:rRNA from 1 species